CUACUACCCUUUCUAUAUCACUGUUACUGCUCCCACUGGAAGGCUAUUCCAUAUAUCUACUACCCUUUCUAUAUCACUGUUACUGCUCCCACUGGAAGGCUAUUCCAGGUAUCAACUACCCUUUCUAUAUCACUGUUACUGCUCCCACUGGAAGAUUAUUCCUGGUAUCUACUACCCUUUCUAUAUCACUGUUACUGCUCCCACUGGAAGGCUAUUCCAGGUAUCUACUACCCUUUCUAUAUCACUGUUACUGCUCCCACUGGAAGGCUAUUCCAGGUAUCUACUACCCUUUCUAUAUCACUGUUACUGCUCCCACUGGAAGGCUAUUCCAGGUAUCUACUACCCUUUCUAUAUCACUUACUGCUCCCAUUGGAAGGCUUUUCCAGGUAUCUACUACCCUUUCUAUAUCACUGUUACUGCUCCCACUGGA